rnacentral:lncRNA from 1 species
GCCGCUCCUCUCGGCGUCCAUGACGCACUUCUCCCAAGCAAUGAAGCCGUCCUUGCUGCCGCCGCCGCCCUUCAAGAAGAAGCAGAACCCGCACUCCAAUUCCUCCUCCCCCUGCUUCGAUCCCACAUAUAGAGCGUCAGUGGAAGAGGGGGAAUCAGCAGGAGGCGCGGAGACUCUGGAUUCUCGGUCGUAGUGGAUCGGGGGAGGAGGUAUUUUAAUUGGUUAAUGUUGUAAAUUUCUAACGGAAAAAAAUUAAUGUUCACAGCAACAUUUAUAAAUUGAGAAUAUAUAUGAAAGGAAAAUAGGAUUAUGGUUGCCUAUUAAUUUACUACAAGAAGGAUUAGUGAAUUCAAUACAUGAAUUAGAUGUUUCGUGUGGGUUUAUGUUGCAUUGGAAGCAAAUACAUGGAUCUUUGCAUGGCCAACAGGCAUUUUACAGAUCGUAUACUUUUAAUUUCUGUUUAUUAUUUGCAUACAAAAGUAACUUCCUGUGGGGUAUCAUGCCGUAUGUUCCACCGCUUCAUUUAGGUGGCGUUCUCCAUAUCUUCUGCUGUUCAUCAAAGCUCCCAAUCACUGCAGACUGCUGCUUAUCACCUAACAAAUCUGCAAGCAGCUUGUAAUAUGCCUCGCUGUCAAAUUCAUCCACUAUGUUCACUAACUUUCCAUAUCUUUUGUCUACUGUAAUCUGCCCAUCCAGGCUCAUGUUCCCAGUUAAAAUAGUAAUCUUCUCCGUUUGCAUCGUUGCGUUUAGUUUAGAAUGUUCAACCAAGAAAACUGCACCAAGGACUUCCCCCAGAAAUAUUUCCUGCAGCACCACAAGAAAAAGAACAAACAGUAAGUGCACAUUCGGAUACAAGCGGAAAAGAAAUGCUGGUAAACUACCAUGUGAUGGUAUAGUUUUGGUUGCUUCUGCUGCAGUUUGUCGAGCAAUGACAGCAAGCUAUGCGCAAAAAUGGACUCAGGAGUCUUCUCUGCAAGCUUUAGGUUUUGUAAGGUCCUCUUAAAGGAGCUCGCUUUCUGCUGAGCACUGAGAGGAAUAAGCGUGAUCCUAAGAUUCGACUCCAUAACCUUCUUCGCAGCUAAAGGGUCAAGGAACAUGUUGAACUCAGCGAACUCGUUCGAAGGAACCGUGAAGACGUUUCCUCUCUUAN